AGCUUAUCAGUGAUGUUAUAAAAAUAAAUGUCUGAACAUAUGAAUUUAAUACUGAUUUCAACAUUUAACUGAGAUAAGCU
ensembl:snoRNA SNORD72 small nucleolar RNA, C/D box 72